CUCCCAGGGUGGCCUCAUUACUCAGCAGAGAGAUAUUCUCUAAAGAGGAUGGAAGGCAAGGUAAGGCUUGACAACUCAAGCAAUAGAGUGAAUAUUUGUGUUCCCCAUAUUCAGAUGUUGAAAUCCUACUUUGCACCCAAGGUGAUGAUGUGAGAGGUUGGGAGGUAAUUAGGUUUUGAGAGUGGAACCAUUUUUUUUUCUUUUUGAUCAGGGACUGGGCAUUAUCUCUGAGCUUUUUCAGUCAAGGCUAGUGCUCUACCACCUUGAACCCACAGUAUCACUUCUAGUUUUCUUGUGGUUA